rnacentral:misc_RNA from 1 species
CGUAACAAGGUCUCCGUUGGUGAACCAGCGGAGGGAUCAUUACUGAGUACUACACUCUCUACCCUUUGUGAACUAUUAUACCUGUUGCUUCGGCGGCGCCCGCGAGGGUGCCCGCCGGUCUCAUCAGAAUCUCUGUUUUCGAACCCGACGAUACUUCUGAGUGUUCUUAGCGAACUGUCAAAACUUUUAACAACGGAUCUCUUGGCUCCAGCAUCGAUGAAGAACGCAGCGAAACGCGAUAUGUAAUGUGAAUUGCAGAAUUCAGUGAAUCAUCGAAUCUUUGAACGCACAUGGCGCCUUCCAGUAUCCUGGGAGGCAUGCCUGUCCGAGCGUCGUUUCAACCCUCGAGCCCCCGUGGCCCGGCGUUGGGGAUCUGCCACGGCAGGCCCCUAAAACCAGUGGCGGACCCGAAGGCCCUCUCCUUUGCGCAGUAGCAUCAGCCUCGCAUUGGGAUCCCUCGGCGUCCUGCCUCUAAACCCCCCACAAGUCCGCUCCGGCGGCACCAAGGUUGACCUCGGAUCAGGUAGGAAUACCCGCUGAACUUAAGC